rnacentral:rRNA from 1 species
AGUGAACGCUGGCGGUAGGCCUAACACAUGCAAGUCGAACGGCAGCACAGUAAGAGCUUGCUCUUACGGGUGGCGAGUGGCGGACGGGUGAGGAAUACAUCGGAAUCUACUUUUUCGGGGGGGUUAACGUAGGGAAACUUACGAUAAUACCGCAUACGCCCUACGGGUGAAAGCAGGGGAUAUUCGCACCUUGCGGGGUUGAAUUAGCCGAUGUCGUGUUGGCUAGUUGGCGGGGUAAAGGCCCACCCAGGCGAGGAUCCGUAUCUGGUCUGGGAGGAUGGUCGGCCACACUGGAACUUGGACACGGUCCAGACUCCUACGGGAGGCAGCAGUGGGGAAUAUUGGACAAUGGGCGCAAGCCUGAUCCAGCCAUACCGCGUGGGUGAAGAAGGCCUUCGGGUUGUAAAGCCCUUUUGUUGGGAAAGAAAAGCAGCAGGUUAAUACGCCGCUGUUCUGACGGUACCCAAAGAAUAAGCACCGGCUAACUUCGUG